CCUACGGGUGGCUGCAGUCGAGGAUCUUCGGCAAUGGGGGCAACCCUGACCGAGCGAUGCCGCGUGGGCGACGAAGGCCUUCGGGUUGUAAAGCCCUGUCGAGGGGGAGAAAGCCCGCAAGGGCGGAUCCAUCCCUGGAGGAAGCUCGGGCUAAGUUCGUGCCAGCAGCCGCGGUAAGACGAACCGAGCGAACGUUGUUCGGAAUCACUGGGCUUAAAGGGCGCGUAGGCGGGCUGCCGCGUCCGGGGUGAAAUCCUCCGGCUCAACCGGAGAAC
rnacentral:rRNA from 1 species